rnacentral:rRNA from 1 species
AUGAGUACACUUUAAAUCCUUUAACGAGGACCAAUUGGAGGGCAAGUCUGGUGCCAGCAGCCGCGGUAAUUCCAGCUCCAAUAGCGUAUAUUAAAGUUGUUGCGGUUAAAAAGCUCGUAGUUGAAUCUGUGUGUCACAGUGUCGGUUCACCGCUCGCGGUGUCUAACUGGCAUUAUGUGGUACGUCCUACCGGUGGGCUUAGCUCCUUGCGGGCGGUCCAACUAAUCUCCCAUCGCGGUGCUCUUCACUGAGUGUCGAGGUGGGCCGGUACGUUUACUUUGAACAAAUUAGAGUGCUCAAAGCAGGCUACCUUCGCCUGAAUACUGCGUGCAUGGAAUAAUGGAAUAGGACCUCGGUUCUAUUUUGUUGGUUUUCGGAACCCCGAGGUAAUGAUUAAUAGGGACAGAUGGGGGCAUUCGUAUUGCGACGUUAGAGGUGAAAUUCUUGGAUCGUCGCAAGACGGACUAAAGCGAAAGCAUUUGCCAAAAAUGUUUUCAUUAAUCAAGAACGAAAGUUAGAGGUUCGAAGGCGAUCAGAUACCGCCCUAGUUCUAACCAUAAACGAUGCCAGCUAGCGAUCCGCCGAUGUUCCUCCGAUGACUCGGCGGGCAGCUUCCGGGAAACCAAAGCUUUUGGGUUCCGGGGGAAGUAUGGUUGCAAAGCUGAAACU